AAACACUUGAAAGAAAAAAAGAAUAGGUGAAAUGAGGGUUUCUUCCCUCUUCUGCUCGACGUUCUCACUCUUCUCUUUUACUCGCUCCAUUCUCUUCUUCACGGAACUUUGAUUUUCGUUUCUAAGUAGAAUCAUUUGAACCAUAACAAAGGCUUAGUUUUCCGAAUGGAGAAUAGAGGGUGGGUACGUGAUCCGACAAAAGAAAGUGAAGAAUAUAUUCGAAGGGUAAACGAAUUUCUUGAAUUUGCUUUUCAAAACUCAGCAGAAAAUGGGAAAAUAUUAUGUCCUUGUAUAAAAUGUGCUAACUGUGAUUCACAUUGUCGCUCAAGAGUUUAUGAACACUUAACUGAUCCGCGACGUGGAUUCCUUAGACGUUAUACACAGUGGAUAUUUCAUGGUGAGAGACCCACAACUUCAACUGGUACAACUGAACAACAUUUUGAAAUGGAGCAUGACAUGGAUGGGUUACUCCGUGAUGCUUUUGCAAUGCCUCAUGUAGAUGAGACAAUUUCUGGUGAAGAAGAAAGGAAUCCAGAAAUAGGAGAAAAUAUCAAGUUCUAAAAAUUGGUGAAAGAGAACAAAGUAGUUCUCUAUCCAAACUGUAAAAAGUAUAGCAAACUAUCAUUUAUGGUACAUUUGUAUCAUUAAAAAUGUCUUCAUGGGUGGAGUGACAAGUCCUUUUCUAUGCUCUUAGAUUUAUUGAGAGAUGCUCUACCAGAAGGAAAUGUUUUGCCAAAGACAUACUAUGACACAAAGAAGAUGAUUUCAGGGUUAGGUUUGGGGUAUGAAAAAAUUCAUGCUUGUCCUAAUGACUGCAUAUUGUAUUGGGAUAAACAUAUCAAGGAUGACGUAUGUCCAAAGUGUGGUACUUCAAGGUGGAAAACAACAAAUGAGGAUUGGAGUAUAUAAGAUUUAGUUGUUUAUUUUGUGUAGCUAAUUAUUUUUAAUGAAUUAUUAUAGAUUCAUCACUUGGAUGAACAAGGGAGCCCACAAAUUACUCAUGAACUUAGAUGGCUAGCGCGUGGACCAGUUGAGGUAGUAAGGAGACACACUGGUUACACCUUCAAUGGUUUUAGGUUUCACACUAGGAAAAGAGAGAGAUACUUAAAGACGCAAAAUUCUUGAGUAGUUGUAAGGACAAAUAACUCAAACGAUGAAGUUAAUUACUAUGGGGCAAUAACUGAUAUAGUACGAUUGGAUUAUUCUGGAAAGUACAAGGCUGUGUUAUUCAAAUGUGAUUGGAUUGAUAUCAAGAAAUGCGUCAAGAAAGAUAAGUUUGGGAUGACACUUGUGAAUUUCAAAUAUUUGAAACACACUGGAAAAAAUCUUUGGGAUGACCCGUUUGUUUUUGCAUCACAAGCCAAAAAGGUGUUUUAUGUAUAUGAUGAGAGAAACAAGGAUUGGUGUGUUACUCUAGAUGCAAAGGUAAGCGAUGUCUAUGAUAUGGGUGAAGAAGAUUCCAAUGAGGAUGAAGAAAUCAAUGAGCAACCAAUACACAACACAAGCGAAGCUACUCAAAAUGUUGAUGCUUUAAUUGCGGUUUCAGCUGCUGAAAAUGAUUUCAUUGAAGUUAAUGUUAAUAAUCAGAUUGAGGAAGAAGAGGAAGAUUGGGAGAAUAUGUUUUAAUUUUGAAUUAUUUUACACCUUUUGUAUACAACUGAACUUGACUUAUUAUGUUUAGUGAAUGCUUUAAUUCUAUAUUUUAUCAUUCCGUUUGUAUUUUGAUUCUUUAUUAUUAUACUUUCAUGCUAUAUUGUUAGCUUGUUAAUUAAAUGUAUUACAGCGAUGACAAGGAAGAGAAAAUUGAAUAUUGGGAGUCGUAAGUCAAAAGACUCAAACCCCAUCUCAUCCCAAGGAAGUAAUGCUCAAGAAACUCAUCCAACCUCAUCUCAUGCCCAAGGAAUUAAUGUUGAAGAAACUCAUUCAACCUCAUUUCAUGUCCAAGGAAGUAAUGUUGAAGAAACAAGGCCUAAUCCAAGUCAUGUGGAAGUUGGCAUACAUGAGUCUGAAGAUUCCUACUCUAUUCCUUUUGAUGUGGAAGCAGAAGAAGACCUACAAAUUAAUAAAGAUGUUCAACCUAAAAAAAAAGAGGUCCAACAAGAAUGUUAGAUGUAUGGGAAAUGGACACCGAGACUUGCAUAAUUGUUAAUUUGGAUAAGUAUAGUCGACCCAUUGGUCCCGAAGGUACGACUCUUACUCGUUUCAUAGGGAGUUUGGUUCGAAGGAAACAAUACGCUUCCAUUAAAUACAAGUCUUGGAAAGAUAUGUCGGACAAGGAAAAAGAUGAAAUGUUGGCACAAAUAGAGACCAUAUUUGAGUUCGUUCCUAUGAAUGACACUACAAAACAAAUGUUGAAACUUGAGAUGAAUAUCAAGUGGAAACAAUGGAAAUGUGAUUUAAAAGCAAAGGCAUUUGACCCAAGUAAAACAGAAGAAGAAGUUGCAUCUUUUAUACCAGAUUGUCGAGUUGACCUUGAUCAAUAUCGUGAAUUGGUUCAUCAUUGGUUUUCUGAAGAAGCACAAAAAGUAAGUAAAAUUAAUAGUCAGAAUUGUGCUAAAUAUGAAGAUAUUCAUUGUAUGGGUACAAAAAGCCUCCCAAAAUUGAUCAAUUAAAAGGAAAAAAAGGCCAAAGGAGUGUCGCCCACACGCAAAGAGAUUUACAUUGAUACCCGUACUCACAAAGAUGGUUUAGUUGUUAAUGAAAAGGCUGCAAGAUUGAUUGUAAUUUUUUCUUUCAUUCAUGCACUCUUUUUUAAUUCUAUGACUAGUAUAGCUUGUACAGCUUCCCUAAUGUUGCACAGCUUGUACAGCUUUGUUAUAAUAGCAUGCACUUUUUCUUUCAUUCAUCUCUUUUAAUUUAGUAUAAUAGUUAUACAGUUUGUACAGCUUCCCUAAUGUUGCAGCUUCCAUAAUUUUUCUAUAUGGAUCAAUAUUAUAAAAUUUUAAUAUUUAUAAUAAUUAAUACUAUUGCUAACAGUUUGUACACGAACUCUCCUAUCCUUCACAUAUGAUGUGAAAUCAACAUCAUAACUCUAGCUAGCUUUAAAUCUUGAUAUUAGGAUGGCCAUUUGAUUUGAUUUAAUGAGAUUGGAUAAUGUCUUAACUUCUUUGUUUCAUAUUUGACCUGUACAUGCAUACUUUUUAUAUGUAUUUGAGCAGUUUGUUUAUUUUGUAGCACCAAUGUAUUAUGAAUCUAUCAUCUAGGUGUGUGUCUAUGUUUCUAUUAUGUUUGACAAGUAUUGGUGUUUCUAUUAUGUUUCUGUUGGAAUAUAUUAUUUCUAUUUGUAUUAUUUCCCUAUUUGUAUUAUUUCCCUUUAUUCUCCAUUAAGGAGAGAAUUAAUAUCAUUAUUGUAUUACCAUUAUAUAUACCAGCCUAGAGCUGAGGAAUAAAAUACAACAGCUUUUUUACCAUUCCGUUCAAUAUGGUAUCAAGAGCUCUGGGUUAGGGUUUACUAUAAAGCUUCCAUUACAGCUUCCGAUUGACAUACCCGUUUAAUCCCCUAUGGCGAAUCACGGCACG